AUUGAACGCUGGCGGCAUGCUUUACACAUGCAAGUCGAACGGCAGCGGGGUAGUGCUUGCACUACUGCCGGCGAGUGGCGAACGGGUGAGUAAUAUAUCGGAACGUACCGAGUAAUGGGGGAUAACCAAUCGAAAGAUUGGCUAAUACCGCAUACGUCCUGAGGGAGAAAGCGGGGGAUCGCAAGACCUCGCGUUAUUCGAGCGGCCGAUAACUGAUUAGCUAGUUGGUGGGGUAAAGGCCUACCAAGGCGACGAUCAGUAGCGGGUCUGAGAGGACGGUCCCCCACACUGGGGAUGAAAACCGGCCCAGACUCCUACGGGAGGCAGCAGUGGGGAAUUUUGGACAAUGGGGGCAACCCUGAUCCAGCCAUGCCGCGUGUAUGAAGAAGGCCUUCGGGUUGUAAAGUACUUUUGUUAGGGAAGAAAAGGGAAGUGCUAAUACCACUUUUUGCUGACGGUACCUAAAGAAUAAGCACCGGCUAACUACGUG
rnacentral:rRNA from 1 species